rnacentral:rRNA from 1 species
AUUGAACGCUGGCGGCAUGCCUUACACAUGCAAGUCGAACGGCAGCACGGGAGCAAUCCUGGUGGCGAGUGGCGAACGGGUGAGUAAUGUAUCGGAACGUACCUUUCAGUGGGGGAUAACGUAGCGAAAGUUACGCUAAUACCGCAUAUUCUGUGAGCAGGAAAGCAGGGGAUCGCAAGACCUUGCGCUGAUUGAGCGGCCGAUAUCAGAUUAGCUAGUUGGUGAGGUAAAGGCUCACCAAGGCGACGAUCUGUAGCGGGUCUGAGAGGAUGAUCCGCCACACUGGGACUGAGACACGGUCCAGACUCCUACGGGAGGCAGCAGUGGGGAAUUUUGGACAAUGGGCGCAAGCCUGAUCCAGCCAUGCCGCGUGAGUGAAGAAGGCC